rnacentral:lncRNA from 1 species
AGACAGCAAGCAGGAGUGAGUCAGGUGGCAUUGCUGCCAGAGACCAGGCAGCGUCGCGGGCAUGGACGGCGCUUUUCCAAGGUAGGAAAGGGGGCAAGAGAGGGAGGAAACCAGCCCGGAGCCUCAUGCCUGGUGCUUGCCAGCCAGCUCUGGCUGCCUGGUGGGCGACGGCUGGGUGGGCAUCCGGGUGCCAGGUCCCCAAGGACCACUAAAGGUACCAGGAGGAAUGUGGCUGGUUUAUGCCUUCGAAGGGUCGUGGAUAUAAGGAAGUAGGGGCCAAUUCCCCCGUUCCUGGCAUGUGAUUAAAAAACCAGUAGUAACAACAUCAAAACCACCCCAGCUGGUCAACUCUUAUUCUUGUUUCAAGGAACAACUCCUUAAAUUUACCCAGACGCCAGAAAAUUAACCAGGUGAAUUUUCUAAAUUCCUCUCUCCAGAAAGGUGUACGAUUUUAUGGGGAAAAUCCACUUUCCGUGCUUAUCCUGUAGAAAAACUUAUCUUUCUGGUGCUGUGCAAUUAUUUGAAAGGAGGUGGCUCUUUUUCCUGAAAUAAAAGGAGAAAAAGUAGAGAAUGUUUCAGAGCACCAAUAACACAGUAUCCAUUUUUUAUUUUUUGUCUACUGAAUGGAAGAGGAGAUGACAUCUGCAUAGAGAUAGAACAUCAAGAAGGAAAAAUUUUCAGAAUUAUAAUAAGUUGCUUUUCUCUAAUAGCUGCUUCAGGGAAAGUUUUUUAACUGAAAGGCAAAUCCUUAUGACUUGUUUCCCCAGUAUAUCCUUCUCCAUCUUCUUAGCUGCCUCCUUUCCCAUUCCUGAUAUUUUGAAGGUUAAAACCUUGGUUCAAAUAUUCCUCACGUCACUUUUUUGCAUAUUUUUAUACCGAAAGCCAUGCUACUAGGAGAAACAUCAGCACCGCAGCUCAAUGCAGGUCUGCAUGAAAGAAAACAGAGAAAUAUUUACUUGCACAGGUGUGAGGAGACACUUCGCUAUUACAUUUUGCUCCUCCUGUAACCGUCCCUUCAUUAUUCACAGUAUCCAGCACAUGCAUUGCACUCUUCUUGGGAGCUAGGAAAUGUCUGAGAGGGGAAAUCAGAAGCUGCUAAAUGGUUACAGCUCUGACUCUUGGGGAUUGCAAUACUGGAUGAGACUGUGUCAUGGGAGAUGGCAGGAACUCAAUGCAAAUAAAAUCACUGAUUGAUCCAGGGACAGUGUGGCACAGGCAUGCUAUGGGAGUGCUUUCAAAUACUAAGAAUUAUUCAUAACAUCCACAUUAGAUACCAAUUAAUUGAUUUCUGAAGAUUUCCAUUUAAUCCCUAGGCAGGAGAAGAGAACUAUUUUGUCACCGUUUAAAGUAUUUAAAGUUAUCAUGACAGACUUAUGAGGUUAAUAUUAUUAUUCCAUUUUGCAAUUCCUGAAACUGAAAUUCAUAGAGGACAGGUGAUUUGCACAAGACCAUGACGCUAAAGAGUAACAGACUCUAGAUUUCUAUUCAGGGUAUAUAACUCAUAAAUUCAGCUACAUGGUUACUUUAUAGUUAAUCUGAAUUCUUCUAUAUAUAAUAUGGAGCAGAGCAUUUAGUUUUAGGUGUAUAGUCCAAUAGGAAAUGAUCUGAAUAGAUUAGAAACAUUACUUACAGACCAAGGAGACUCUACUAGUUGAACUAAGCAAUCCAGAAAAUUACCUAAGAAAUUGAGUCUGUUGAAAAGACUGACAGAAAUCCACAUCUGAAAAUAAUGAAAAUUUUCCCCCAUUUUCUUUUCUCCUGUGUUCUGUCUGAUGGUGGCACCAAUGAGCAACGGAAUAACCAAAAGGCACCUGGCAAAAAGCUCUAGGCAUUCUAACUCUAAAAGGACUGAUGAAGACGCUUUUCUGACUACAGACAGAAGGACUCCCCGUUACUGAAUGUUUUUAAUGUACCAUCUGCAUUAUAUAAAUUGUCCCAUUAAUCCUCCAAACCAUUCUAAGAGGACAGGUUUUGCCUUAAGUUAUCCAGAUGUUGCAUGGUGAGGUGAAGGACUCCAACAGUUUUAUUCGUUGAGAAAAGCAGAAUCCUUUUUUUUUUCAUUAACAAUGAGAAUGAAUUUUCCUAUUCCAUCAAGAUUUCUAUGUGGCCAUCUCUUCAGGACAUAGGUAUCAGCUACUGUUUUAAAUUUAGGAAAUGCACACACAUAUGCAACCAACCACAUAAUGUUUCCAAAGCAAUAUAUUGAGAUUGAUACAAAUACACAUUUUUCAAGAAUCCUGGACUAAUCCCACACUACUCUGAGCCUUCUUUACUUUUUAAGCCUCUUUAUUUCUAUUAUAUGACUGUGAACUAAGUAGAUUUAACUUUUGUAUGCUUUUAAAAUCAGUUAUAUUUUCUGAUAUGUGAUAACAAAUAUACUGUGUAUUUCAUUGAAACGUAGAGGAAAACUGCUCUUUUUUUCCUUUUAAAAUCAGUGCCUAUGGUAUAGUCAACAAAGUAUUUAAUGAGUGGCUAUUUUGAGCCAUUUUUAAUUGGCUGGACUACUGCAGACAUACCAUUUUAAAUGAUUACACAUAUGUCUAGAGAAUCAGCAUAGGAUUUUUGUUUUUCCUUUGAGAUUGAACAAUUUUUAUUUCAUCAUUACUAAAACUUAGCUGACAAUUUUUAUUUUUUCAUUACUAAAACUUAGCUGGAUGUCAGUUUCUGCCUUUAAAUAAAAUAUCCAAAUCCAGGAUUAUUCUCAAUUGCAAAAAUGCAGCUGGUCUCAACUAUUCCUUUUAUAUUUUCUUUCACAUAGGGUAGAAAAUGGUGAAUCAUUGUACUUUCAUAUAAUAAAAAGAUGUCUUCAAUUUUAAAUGUAAUUGUCCUUUCUUGAGUAACUUCUAAAUGAAGUGAAACCACAAAGGCAGUUUGGCACACUAUUGAUUCUAUCCUGGUUAUCUUUUUUGUCAGGCUAGAAUGUGAAGGGAAAGGGUUUGGAGCACAGAAUGGUUUUCCUUUUAAAGAAAAAAAAUUGAAUGAAAAAUUGGCAAUGAAAAUAAAAUACUGGACCUAGAUUCCCAA